rnacentral:rRNA from 2 species
UACGUAGGGAGCAAGCGUUGUUCGGAUUUACUGGGCGUAAAGGGCGCGUAGGCGGCAAUUCAAGUCAUCUGUGAAAUCUCCGGGCUUAACUCGGAACGGUCAGAUGAUACUGUCUUGCUAGAGUGCAGAAGGGGCAAUCGGAAUUCUUGGUGUAGCGGUGAAAUGCGUAGAUAUCAAGAGGAACACCUGAGGUGAAGACGGGUUGCUGGGCUGACACUGACGCUGAGGCGCGAAAGCCAGGGGAGCAAACGGG